rnacentral:rRNA from 1 species
ACAGAGGUCACAAGCGUUAUCCGGAUUUAUUGGGCGUAAAGCGUUUCGUAGGCGGUAGGUAAAGUUAUUUUUCAAAGACCACGGCUUAACCGGGGGAAGGGAGGUAAUACUAACUUACUUGAUUUUUGGUGGGGUUUCUAGAACUGAUGGUGUAGUAGUGAAAUACGUUGAUAUCAUUAGGAAUUCCAAGGGCGAAGGCAGGAAACUAACCAAUUAAUGACGCUGAGGAACGACAGCUAGGGGAGCGAAAGGGAUUAGAGACCCCUGUAGUCCUAGCCGUAAACUAUGUUCGUUAGGGGUUUGAAGUUUACUUCAUGUCCCGUAAGCUAACGCGUUAAACGAACCGCCUGGGGAGUACGACCGCAAGGUUA